rnacentral:rRNA from 1 species
UACGAAGGGGGCUAGCGUUGUUCGGAAUUACUGGGCGUAAAGCGCACGUAGGCGGCUUUGUAAGUUAGAGGUGAAAGCCCGGGGCUCAACUCCGGAAUUGCCUUUAAGACUGCAUCGCUAGAAUUGUGGAGAGGUAAGUGGAAUUCCGAGUGUAGAGGUGAAAUUCGUAGAUAUUCGCAAGAACACCAGUGGCGAAGGCGGCUCACUGGCCCGAUACUGACGCUGAGGCACGAAAGCGUGGGGAGCAAACAGG